AAUGAACGUUGGCGGCAUGGAUUAGGCAUGCAAGUCGAGCGAGAAGUGUAGCAAUACACGGAAAGCGGCGGAAGGGAGAGUAAUACGUGGGAAUCUGCCCUUAGACCUGGGGUAGCAGCGGGAAACUGCUGGUAAUACCAGAUAAUGUCUAUGGACCAAAGGUGUGAUUCCGUCUAGGGAUGAGCCCACGUCCUAUUAGCCAGUUGGUAGGGAAAUGGCCUACCAAGGCGAUGAUGGGUAGCGGGUGUGAGAGCAUGACCCGCGUCACUGGGCCUGGGACACUGCCCAGACACCUACGGGUGGCUGCAGUCGAGAAUCUUCGGGAAUGGGCGCAAGCCUGACCGAGCGAUGCCGCGUGCGGGAUGAAGGCCUUCGGGUUGUAAACCGCUGUCGAGGGGGAGCAACUUCCAUAGAGUUAUCUUUAUGGAUUGAGUGAUCCCUGGAGGAAGGACGGGCUAAGUUCGUGCCAGCAGCCGCAGUAAUAC
rnacentral:rRNA from 1 species